UGAGCAACCUGCCCUUGACUCUGGAAUAACAGUUGGAAACAGCUGCUAAUACCGGAUAUGACUCCUCAUCGCAUGGUGGGGGGUGGAAAGCUUUAUUGUGGUUUUGGAUGGACUCGCGGCCUAUCAGCUUGUUGGUGAGGUAAUGGCUCACCAAGGCGACGACGGGUAGCCGGCCUGAGAGGGUGACCGGCCACACUGGGACUGAGACACGGCCCAGACUCCGUAGGAGG
rnacentral:rRNA from 1 species